rnacentral:lncRNA from 1 species
AUUGCUCGGUUAUUCAGGCUAAAACAUUUUUGAGCUUCAGUCCUGGCAUUAUUAAGCUACUACAGCGAGAAGGUUGCUUGUUCGCCUCAUUAAAGCAUUUGCAAUCGGUCUAGGCCAAGUUAAUUAGACACCAGAUCCUGCCAACUGCCGCCUUGUUGCAUUUGAAACUGCCACCUGACCGGGCCUGUCAGCCUCAUUUGACGCCAAUCGCUCUCUGACAGGCCGGUGUAUAAUGCCGGAUCCAUACACCAGUAAAAACCAAGGUGCGAAGAGGCAAGAUAUUAGAGACAAAGUGCAUUCAUUUGAUAUAUCAAAGUAAUUCAUUUACCAAAGAACAAGUGCUUAUCUGUUUACAGGGUUCCCACCAAAGAUAGAAGAUGAAAACAUCCGGGGAGAGAUGCAAACGGAUAAUGACAAGCAUGA